UAGGGCCUUGGUAUUGUUGGGUUUUGGGUUGGAGACCUCUCCUUGGUCAGACCCAGUGAGUUGACAUCCAGGUGGAUGUCGGCAUGUAGACGUCUCCGGCCACUUAGGGUUAAGAAAAUUACUUGGUACCGCAUCGUUGGAGUUAGCUUUGUCGAUAGGUGGUCCUUGGGGAAUUGAAUGCUAACUAAUUUUCCCUGUUUUCUUCUUCCUACCGAAGGACACAGUUUGCCAAUCUUGUGCAUCAAUCUCAGUCGUCUUUGACAUCUCCAUCAAGGUUGUAGUGUUAGUCCCGGACAUGUCUGCGUCAGUGUUACCUUCGGGGAGUUUGUCUUCAAAUGGUAUGAGCAAGAUGGAGCUGUAUGACCUAGCCGACUAGAAUUCUUGCACAAGAACCCCUCUCCCUUACAGAUCAGUGAUUGCAUGUGGUGGUUGAUGGUACUCAACGCUUCCACUGGAAUGUUCAGGGGUAUCUGGACACAAAUCCUGGCAUAUCUUUCCCUUAAUACAGCCGAUGUGCAAGCAUCUACCUUCAACAAUAUUACUAUAUUCUUUCUGAUUCUCUGAAGGAUGGACGCAUAAUAUAACUCAGUAGGUAGAUAGGGGAGUCUGACCCAAAUAGCUAUUGAGUUGAUUUUAGACUAAGUAGGUACAAAAUUAGGCUCCUAUUUCCUGAUAGAAAUAAAUCUUCCAGCAACAAACCCAGACCUCCAUUGAGGAUCGUGGAUUGACUCUCCGAUUUUGAUAGUUUCACUAUGAAAAAAAUCCCUACCCAGAUCUAUGAGGCAUAAUGGUUCUGGGAGCUUCCACAGGUCUUGAAAUUUUCUUUUAAGGUACUGGUGGUUAAACUUCGAAUUGACCGGUUUAAUAAUGAUGGAGUGUAUCCAUGGUGCAUAGAGUCUUUGCUUUUCGUCUUCCGAUAGCAAGAUUUCCUUCGCAUCUAUUACAGGGUCCUUAUAUUUGUCGAUGUCAGUUCAAAUAUGGGAUUUGGGAUUAAGACUUUCCCUAUUUCUAUGUCUUUGUAUGAUGGUGGGGCCUCCUCCAUAUGAAUUUCAAUGGUGGAGUUUUGUAUAGGGGGAUUUGGAAGAAGAGGUGGGGUCAACGUUGGGUCCAUGGCUUUGUCCUUCUAGAGAAGGAGAAGAUGAUCGGUAGAGAGAUGAUGGACUAUCUCUCACUAGCACCAGACUGUCAUUAUGGUAAAUAUUAAGU
rnacentral:lncRNA from 1 species